rnacentral:lncRNA from 1 species
UCUUCACGUGUCCGAACCAUCUCAAUCGGGCUUCCCGCAUCUUGCACUCCACUGGUGUCACACCCACCUUCUCCCGGAUUUUCUCAUUCCGAACUCUAUCCCCUCUAGUCAGCCCACACAUCCAGCGCAACAUCCGCAUUUCUGUCACCCUCAUCUUUUGGAUGUGGGAGUUCUUCACUGGCCAACACUCCGCUCCAUACAACAUGGCCGGACGGACUACCGCCCUGUAGAAUUUGCCUUUAAGCUUAGGCGGCACCUUCUUAUCACACAGCACCCCCGACGCG